rnacentral:lncRNA from 1 species
UUUAAAGUCAUAAAAUUUGGACUAAUUUACUCCCCAAUCAUUCAUAUAAACAAUAAAAUGAUUAAUCAGAGUUUAUUAACUAGAGUUUAGUGUUUAUUAUUUAGGGUUGAGAGUUUAUUAAUUAGAGUUUAACGUUUACAACUUAGGGUUUAAAGUUUAUUAACUAGGAUUUAGAGUUUAAUAUUUAUGAUUUAGGGUUUAUUAUUUAGGAUUUAUUUAGUAGGUGUGGG